rnacentral:rRNA from 1 species
UACGGAGGAUGCAAGCGUUAUCCGGAAUGAUUGGGCGUAAAGCGUCCGCAGGUGGCUGUGUAAGUCUGCUGUCAAAGAGCGAAGCUCAACUUCGUAAAGGCAGUGGAAACUACACGGCUAGAGUGCGUUCGGGGCAGAGGGAAUUCCUGGUGUAGCGGUGAAAUGCGUAGAGAUCAGGAAGAACACCGGUGGCGAAGGCGGUCUGCUGGGCAGUUUCUGACACUGAGGCGCGACAGCGUGGGGGAGCAAACAGG